rnacentral:misc_RNA from 1 species
GAUGAAGAACGUAGCGAAAUGCGAUAAGUAAUGCGAAUUGCAGAAUUUCCGUGAGUCAUCGAAUCUUUGAACGCACAUUGCGCCCACUGGUAUUCCGGUGGGCAUGCCUGUUCGAGCGUCAUUAUCCUCCCUCAAACCCCGGGUUUGGUGUUGGACCCAAGUUGUGUGAACAACUGGUCUCAAAGACAAUGACGGCGUCCGUGGGACCCUCGGUGCAACGAGCUUUUAGGAGCACGCGCCGAGUUGCAAGGACCUUCCGGGCCGGUCUCCUUUACUAUUUUACAAGGUUGACCUCGGAUCAGGUAGGAAUACCCGCUGAACUUAAGCAUAUCAAUAGCGGAGGA